rnacentral:rRNA from 1 species
UAAGGAAUAUUGGUCAAUGGACGCAAGUCUGAACCAGCCAUGCCGCGUGAAGGAUGAAGGUCCUCUGGAUUGUAAACUUCUUUUAUAGGGGAAGAAACCGGAAAAUUCUUUUCCGUUGACGGUACCCUGGGAAUAAGCACCGGCUAACUCCGUGCCAGCAGCCGCGGUAAUACGGAGGGUGCAAGCGUUAUCCGGAUUCACUGGGUUUAAAGGGUGCGUAGGUGGAUCUGUAAGUCAGUGGUGAAAUCUCCAAGCUUAACUUGGAAACUGCCGUUGAUACUAUAGAUCUUGAAUGCUGUGGAGGUGAGCGGAAUAUGUCAUGUAGCGGUGAAAUGCUUAGAUAUGACAUAGAACACCAAUUGCGAAGGCAGCUCACUACCCAGAUAUUGACACUGAGGCACGAAAGCGUGGGGAUCAAACAGGAUUAGAUACCCUGGUAGUCCACGCCCUAAACUAUGGAUACUCGACAUACGCGAUACACUGUGUGUGU